rnacentral:rRNA from 1 species
CAGCCGCCGCGGUAAUACCGGCGGCCCGAGUGGCGGUCACUAUUAUUGGGCUUAAAACGUCCGUAGCCGGGUUGGGAAGUCCUCCGGGAAAUCUGGCCGCUUAACGGUCAGAAUGCCGGAGGAUACUCCCAGCCUAGGGAGCGGGGGAGGCCGAGGGGAUUCCCGGAGUAGGGGUGGAAUCCUAUAAUCCCGGGAGGACCACCUGUGGCGAAGGCGCUCGGCUGGAACGCGUCCGACGGUGAGGGACGAAGGCCAGGGGAGCAAACCGGAUUAGAUACCCGGGUAGUCCUGGCUGUAAACGAUGCGGACUUUGUGUCGGACAAGCUAUGAGCUGGUCCGGUGCCGGAGGGAAACCGUUAAGUCCGCCGCCUGGGGAGUACGGCCGCAAGGCUGAAACUUAAAGGAAUUGGCGGG